UUAUACGGCCUUACCACCAUGGGCACGCCCGAUCUCGUCUGAUCUCGGAAGCUAAGCAUGGUCGGGCCUGGUUAGUACUUGGAUGGGAGACCGCCUGGGAAUACCAGGUGCUGUAAGUG
ensembl:rRNA 5S_rRNA 5S ribosomal RNA